rnacentral:lncRNA from 1 species
GCCUUGUGGCAGGUUCCGCUAAGUAGCAAGCUGGCUUUAACGUUUUUCUGUGAUGUGCUCUCUGUCUUGCCACUUGAUGCUGUGAAGUGCGCUCAGGCAAGCUCCGAAGUUGAGACAUGGUGAGCACAGGGUCACUGACAACAACUGGGAAUAGCGGGGAGCUGAGCAGCGGGAGCUGCUGUGAAGGGCGGGGUGGGAACCAGCGGCCACCUGUGAGGACCUUGCGGUCCUAGCGGCUCGCUGGACCUAGCGCUAGCCACUGAAUAACUUCACUGUGGGGGCUGCAUUUGCGCAGAGCAUUUGGAAAAGAGGCUUGUGUGUAGAAACAUCCUUGGCCUGAUGCCAAAUCCAGAGAGUUCUAGUUUCUACAAUUUCUGUUUUUAGCAUUUAACCUUAAGGUGUUUGAUCCCUUUGGAGUUAAUUUUGUGGAGGCUGUAAAAGGCAUUUCAUAUGUUGGGUAGCAAUCCAGAAUCAAGCUGUGAUGUAAAAGUGCAGGAUUGAUGAUGUAAAGGAUUUACUAAUGCUUAGGAGAUCGUGAGUCACACUAAGUGGAAUUUAGCCUAGGGAGGACUGCCUGUAAAACACCCCACAGAUAAGUAAUAUGCUAACCAGGGCAGUUAGAGAUUAGGAUACAUGUGCUUGUUCACCAGGAUUGUCCAGAAAUAUGGCUCUAAACCAUAAUAAAGGAAACAACCCUGAUUUACAACCAGCCACUAGGCCAAUCCCCAUAUAAAAGAGCAGGCCUCUAACAAGCUAACCAAUGGAGCAUUACAGGAUCACAAUCAACAGUAAGGCGUGGAUGUGGCAUGUUUUGGUUUUCUUCUUGAGAAAAGCAUAAUUCUGCCACAUGGGCAAGAUGACACCUGGUGACAACCAUUUGAAAAGG